ACUAUAAUUAUCAAUAUUUAUUUAGAAUGUAACUGAUCCUGGCUGAAUAGCUACUGGUUCUUGUUUUGGCUCGUGUAUCAAUAAGAUGCUGGUUGAAAAUCUAGAAAUCAAGCCUGAAGUGGAGUAUCUCGUCCUGU